AUUGAACGCUGGCGGCAUGCCUUACGCAUGCAAGUCGAACGGUAACAGGUUAAGCUGACGAGUGGCGAACGGGUGAGUAAUGUAUCGGAACGUGCCCAGUCGUGGGGGAUAACGUAGCGAAAGCUACGCUAAUACCGCAUACGAUCUAUGGAUGAAAGCGGGGGAUCGCAAGACCUCGCGCGAUUGGAGCGGCCGAUAUCAGAUUAGGUAGUUGGUGGGGUAAAGGCCCACCAAGCCGACGAUCUGUAGCUGGUCUGAGAGGACGACCAGCCACACUGGGUCUGAGACACGGUCCAGACUCCUACGGGAGGCAGCAGUGGGGAAUUUUGGACAAUGGGGGCAACCCUGAUCCAGCAAUGCCGCGUGAGUGAAGAAGGCCCUCGGGGUUGUAAAGCUCUUUUGUCAGGGAAGAAAAGGUUGUAGGCUAAUAUCCACAGCUGAUGACGGUACCUGAAGAAUAAGCACCGGCUAACUACGUGCCAGCAGCCGCGGUAAU
rnacentral:rRNA from 1 species